UACGUAGGCAGCGAGCGUUGUUCGGAGUUAUUGGGCGUAAAGGGCGCGUAGGCGGCUAGAUGUGUCAAAGGUGAAAUCCCUCGGCUCAACUGAGGAACUGCCUUUGAAACUGUCUGGCUUGAGGCCGGGAGAGGGUAGCGGAAUUCCCAGUGUAGCGGUGAAAUGCGUAGAUAUUGGGAGGAACACCAGUGGCGAAGGCGGCUACCUGGACCGGUUCUGACGCUGAGGCGCGAAAGCGUGGGUAGCAAACAGG
rnacentral:rRNA from 1 species